rnacentral:lncRNA from 1 species
GGUGUAGUGGUGGUUCGGUCGGCUACUGGUGGUGGUGAGGUGGAAGAAAAUGUAGAAAAUGGGUGGUUUAAGAGCUAAAAUGGAAGAAAAAAGAUGCAAAAUUAGAGGGAUAAGAAGGAGGGGCAACAAAGGGAGAGGAGAAGAAACAAAAUGAAAAAAAGAAAAAGAAAAACUAAAGUGAACCUUGUGUCGAGAUGCAAUGGAGACACAAGCUAGUGAAG